CAUGUAGGCGGUUUUUUAAGUCUGGAGUGAAAAUGCGGGGCUCAACCCCGUAUGGCUCUGGAUACUGGAAGACUUGAGUGCAGGAGAGGAAAGGGGAAUUCCCAGUGUAGCGGUGAAAUGCGUAGAUAUUGGGAGGAACACCAGUGGCGAAGGCGCCUUUCUUGGACUGUGUCUGACGCUGAGAUGCGAAAGCCAGGGUAGCGAACG
rnacentral:rRNA from 1 species